rnacentral:lncRNA from 1 species
CACCCGGGAAGUUGGAUCUGCCUCCACUCCACAGAAUGCAUUCCUAGAGAAGUACGGAUACCUCAAUGAACAGGUCCCCAAAGCUCCCACCUCCACUCGAUUCAGCGAUGCCAUCAGAGCGUUUCAGUGGGUGUCCCAGCUACCUGUCAGCGGCGUGUUGGACCGCGCCACCCUGCGCCAGAUGACUCGUCCCCGCUGCGGGGUUACAGAUACCAACAGUUAUGCGGCCUGGGCUGAGAGGAUCAGUGACUUGUUUGCUAGACACCGGACCAAAAUGAGGCGUAAGAAACGCUUUGCAAAGCAAGGUAACAAAUGGUACAAGCAGCACCUCUCCUACCGCCUGGUGAACUGGCCUGAGCAUCU